rnacentral:rRNA from 1 species
AACUUUCAACAACGGAUCUCUUGGUUCUGGCAUCGAUGAAGAACGCAGCGAAAUGCGAUAAGUAGUGUGAAUUGCAGAAUUCAGUGAAUCAUCGAAUCUUUGAACGCACAUUGCGCCCUUUGGUAUUCCAAAGGGCAUGCCUGUUUGAGCGUCAUUU